GACGAACGCUGGCGGCGUGCCUAAUACAUGCAAGUCGAGCGAAUCGAUGGGAGCUUGCUCCCUGAGAUUAGCGGCGGACGGGUGAGUAACACGUGGGUAACCUGCCUGUAAGACUGGGAUAACUUCGGGAAACCGGAGCUAAUACCGGAUACUUUCUUUUCUCGCAUGAGGGAAGAUGGAAAGAUGGUUCUGCUAUCACUUACAGAUGGACCCGCGGCGCAUUAGCUAGUUGGGUAGGUAACGGCUCACCAAGGCAACGAUGCGUAGCCGACCCGAGAGGGUGAUCGGCCACACUGGGACUGAGACACGGCCCAGACUCCUACGGGAGGCAGCAGUAGGGAAUCUUCCGCAAUGGACGAAAGUCUGACGGAGCAACGCCGCGUGAGCGAAGAAGGCCUUCGGGUCGUAAAGCUCUGUUGUUAGGGAAGAACAAGUACGAGAGUAACUGCUCGUACCUUGACGGUACCUAACCAGAAAGCCACGGCUAACUACGUGCCAGCAGCCGCCGUAAUAC
rnacentral:rRNA from 1 species